UGGAGCAUGUGGUUAAUUCGAAGCAACGCGAAGAACCUUACCAGGCCUUGACAUGCAGAGAACUUUCCAGAGAUGGAUUGGUGCCUUCGGGAACUCUGACACAGGUGCUGCAUGGCUGUCGUCAGCUCGUGUCGUGAGAUGUUGGGUUAAGUCCCGUAACGAGCGCAACCCUUGUCCUUAGUUACCAGCACGUUAUGGUGGGCACUCUAAGGAGACUGCCGGUGACAAACCGGAGGAAGGUGGGAUGACGUCAAGUCAUCAUGGCCCUUACGGCCUGGGCUACACACGUGCUACAAUGGUCGGUACAAAGGGUUGCCAAGCCGCGAGGUGGAGCUAAUCCCAUAAAACCGAUCGUAGUCCGGAUCGCAGUCUGCAACUCGACUGCGUGAAGUCGGAAUCGCUAGUAAUCGUGAAUCAGAAUGUCACGGUGAAUACGUUCCCGGGCCUU
rnacentral:rRNA from 1 species